CUCAGGGAGGUAGUGACAAGAAAUAACAACACUGGAAAUUUUAUUUCUAGUGAUUGGAAUGAUGGGAAUUUAAACCCCUUUCAGAGUAACAAUUGGAGGGCAAGUCUGGUGCCAGCAGCCGCGGUAAUUCCAGCUCCAAUAGCGUAUAUUAAAGUUGUUGCAGUUAAAAAGCUCGUAGUUGGAUGUCUGCUGGAAGCAAUCAGUCCGCCCUAUUUGUAGGGUGUGCACUUGAUGAAUUCUGGCAUUUUUGUCCCAAUGAUGUAGCGGGGCGGUGGUAUUCAGUGAAAGCUGAGUAUCCUGUUCCGAUUAUUGGGAUACUGUUACUUUGAGAAAAUUAGAGUGUUUGAAGCAGGCUAAUUGCCUUGAAUACUGCAGCAUGGAAUAACAAUAUAGGAUUUCGGUUCUAUUUUGUUGGUUUCUAGGACUGAAAUAAUGAUUAAUAGGGACAGUUGGGGGCAUUCGUAUUUAACUGUCAGAGGUGAAAUUCUUAGAUUUGUUAAAGACGAACUACUGCGAAAGCAUUUGCCAAAGAUGUUUUCAUUAAUCAAGAACGAAAGUUAGGGGCUCGAAGACGAUCAGAUACCGUCGUAGUCUUAACCAUAAACUAUGCCGACUAGAGAUAGGAAAAUGUCAUUUUGCUGACUU
rnacentral:rRNA from 1 species